rnacentral:rRNA from 1 species
UACAGAGGGGGCAAGCGUUGUUCGGAAUUACUGGGCGUAAAGAGUGUGUAGGCGGUGCUCUAAGUUCGGUGUGAAAUCUCCCGGCUCAACUGGGAGGGUGCGCCGAAAACUGGGGUGCUGGAGCGCGGGAGAGGAAAGCGGAAUUCCUGGUGUAGCGGUGAAAUGCGUAGAUAUCAGGAGGAACACCGGCGGUGUAGACGGCUUUCUGGACCGUAGCUGACGCUGAGACACGAAAGCUAGGGGAGCGAAUGGG